rnacentral:rRNA from 1 species
GUCAAGCGAAUAAGCGCACACGGUGGAUGCCUUGGCGGUCAGAGGCGAUGAAGGACGUGACAGCCUGCGAAAAGCGUGGGGGAGCUGGCAAUAAGCUUUGAUCCCGCGAUGUCCGAAUGGGGAAACCCACUGCUUCGGCAGUAUCCUGCAGUGAAUACAUAGCUGCUGGAGGCGAACCCGGUGAACUGAAAUAUCUAAGUAACCGGAGGAAAAGAAAUCAACCGAGAUUCCCUAAGUAGUGACGAGCGAACGGGGACUAGCCCUUAAGCUGGAAUGGUUCUAGAAAAACAACCUGGAAAGGUUGGCCAUAGAAGGUGAUAGCCCUGUAUUUGAAAGGGCCACUCCAGUGAAGACGAGUAAGGCGGGGCACGUGAAACCCUGUCUGAACAUGGGGGGACCAUCCUCCAAGGCUAAAUACUCCUGACCGACCGAUAGUGAACCAGUACCGUGAGGGAAAGGCGAAAAGAACCCCGGAGAGGGGAGUGAAAUAGACCCUGAAACCGUGUGCGUACAAGCAGUAGGAGCCCGCAAGGGUGACUGCGUACCUUUUGUAUAAUGGGUCAGCGACUUACAGUUCGUGGCAAGCUUAACCGUAUAGGGGAGGCGAAGGGAAACCGAGUCUGAAUAGGGCGCAUAGUCGCGGGCUGUAGACCCGAAACCGGGUGAUCUAGUCAUGCCCAGGGUGAAGGUGCCGUAACAGGUACUGGAGGCCCGAACCCACUCCCGUUGCAAAGGUAGGGGAUGAGGUGUGAUUAGGAGUGAAAAGCUAAUCGAACCCGGAGAUAGCUGGUUCUCCUCGAAAGCUAUUUAGGUAGCGCCUCAUAUGUAUCCUCUCGGGGGUAGAGCACUGUUAUGGCUAGGGGGUCAUCGCGACUUACCAAACCAUUGCAAACUCCGAAUACCGAGACGGACUGUAUGGGAGACACACGGCGGGUGCUAACGUCCGUCGUGAAAAGGGAAACAACCCAGACCCACAGCUAAGGUCCCAAAUUAUCGCUAAGUGGGAAACGAUGUGGAAAGGCACAGACAGCCAGGAGGUUGGCUUAGAAGCAGCCACCCUUUAAAGAAAGCGUAAUAGCUCACUGGUCGAGUCGGUCUGCGCGGAAGAUUUAACGGGGCUAAGCGAUAAACCGAAGCUUGGGGCGCAUAACUUUGUUAUGCGCGGUAGAGGAGCGUUCCGUAAGCCUGCGAAGGUGGAUUGAGAAGUCUGCUGGAGGUAUCGGAAGUGCGAAUGCUGACAUGAGUAACGAUAAUGCGGGUGAAAAGCCCGCACGCCGAAAGCCCAAGGUUUCCUUGCGCAACGUUAAUCGACGCAGGGUUAGUCGGUCCCUAAGGCGAGGGCGAAAGCCGUAGUCGAUGGGAAGCAGGUUAAUAUUCCUGCACCUCGCGUGAGUGCGAUGGAGGGACGGAGAAGGUUAGGUGUACCGGGCGUUGGUUGUCCCGGGGAAAGGCGGUAGGUUUGGAUCUUUGGCAAAUCCGGGAUCCUUUAAGACCGAGCACCGAGACGAGUCCUUUAGGACGAAGUCACUGAUACCACGCUUCCAGGAAAAGCUCCUAAGCUUCAGCUCACGAAGACCGUACCGUAAACCGACACAGGUGGGUAGGAUGAGAAUUCUCAGGCGCUUGAGAGAACUCGGGUGAAGGAACUAGGCAACAUGGCACCGUAACUUCGGGAGAAGGUGCACCCUCUUUGGUGGCCCAUGCGGGCUAUAGCUGAGGAGGGUCGCAGAAACCAGGCCGCUGCGACUGUUUAUCAAAAACACAGCACUCUGCAAACACGAAAGUGGACGUAUAGGGUGUGACGCCUGCCCGGU